GGGGGGGGGGGGGGGGGGGGGGGGGGGGGGCGGGGCGGGGGCGGGGGCGGGGCUGUGGGGGGGGGGAGGAGUGGCGAACGGGUGGGUAACACGUGAGUAACCUGCCUCCUUCUUUGGGAUAACGCCCGGAAACGGGUGCUAAUACUGGAUAUUCACUGGUCUUCGCAUGGGGGUUGGUGGAAAGGGUUUUUCUGGUGGGGGAUGGGCUCGCGGCCUAUCAGCUUGUUGGUGGGGUGAUGGCCUACCAAGGCUUUGACGGGUAGCCGGCCUGAGAGGGUGACCGGUCACAUUGGGACUGAGAUACGGCCCAGACUCCUACGGGAGGCAGCAGUGGGGAAUAUUGCACAAUGGGCGCAAGCCUGAUGCAGCGACGCCGCGUGAGGGAUGGAGGCCUUCGGGUUGUGAACCUCUUUCGCUCAUGGUCAAGCCGCAACAAUGGUUGUGGUGAGGGUAGUGGGUAAAGAAGCGCCGGCUAACUACGUG
rnacentral:rRNA from 1 species